UACGUAGGGUGCGAGCGUUGUCCGGAAUUAUUGGGCGUAAAGAGCUUGUAGGCGGUCUGUCGCGUCUGCUGUGAAAAUCCGGGGCUCAACCCCGGACUUGCAGUGGGUACGGGCAGACUAGAGUGUGGUAGGGGAGACUGGAAUUCCUGGUGUAGCGGUGAAAUGCGCAGAUAUCAGGAGGAACACCCGUGGCGAAGGCGGCUCUCUGGUACGUGACUGACGCUGAGACGCGAAAGCGUGGGGAGCGAACAGG
rnacentral:rRNA from 1 species